UUCUCAUAUUUUUUUGUAGAAAAAAAAUUUCAGUAGUAGCUGUGACAGUCAACUAAGUGUGCAAGCCAGCACUAGUACUGUAGCUGUUGCUGCUGCUGAGAGAGAUGCAAAUGCUUCAACAGCUGAAGAGAUGCCUGCAAAUGCUAAAUCAAGCAACAGAAGGACUGCAUGAAGGCCUUCAAAUGCUCACAGUGCACCAAGAGGUGCAAGAAGGCCUGCAAAUGCUCACAGUGAACCAAGAGCUGCAGAAAAACCUAUAAAUGCUGCAUCAGUUGGUAGUGUGAGGCCUGCAAGUGCCUCAACAACUGAUAUAAGGCCUGCAGCUGCUGUGAUGCCCACUACCACUUUAGCAGUAGGUGAUGCUGCUACACAAUCUACAUCUCAGCAGUCUAUUAGUGGUGUUAGAGCCCAAAAGAGGAAGACUAGUACAACUUUGAGAGGUGGUGAAAAUCUGACAUAUAAAAGAUCAAGGCAACAAAAGACAAAAAAUGCAGGUUUUAGUGUGUUGUUUGAACCAAAUGGCAGCGUGGUAG
rnacentral:lncRNA from 1 species